GCUCCGUUGGAGACAUCUAAUAAAAUUGAAACAAUGCGGAAAAGAUUAGCAUGACCCAUGCAAAAGAAUUUGUAGUGUAUAUAAUACAUAAAUUGUCAUCUU
rfam:Solanum tuberosum cultivar DM 1-3 516 R44 scf00122_9, whole genome shotgun sequence.